rnacentral:rRNA from 1 species
CCUACGGGAGGCAGCAGUGAGGAAUAUUGGUCAAUGGGCUUACGCCUGAACCAGCCAAGUCGCGUGAGGGAAGACUGCCCUAUGGGUUGUAAACCUCUUUUGUCAGGGAGCAAUUGGCGCUACGUGUAGCGUUAUCGAGAGUACCUGAAGAAAAAGCAUCGGCUAACUCCGUGCCAGCAGCCGCGGUAAUACGGAGGAUGCGAGCGUUAUCCGGAUUGAUUGGGUUUAAAGGGUGCGUAGGCGGAAUGCCAAGUCAGCGGUAAAAUCGCGGGGCUCAACCUCGCUCCGCCGUUGAAACUGGCGUUCUUGAGUGGGCGAGAAGUAUGCGGAAUGCGUGGUGUAGCGGUGAAAUGCAUAGAUAUCACGCAGAACUCCGAUUGCGAAGGCAGCAUACCGGCGCCCAACUGACGCUGAAGCACGAAAGCGUGGGUAUCGAACAGGAUUAGAUACCUCAGUAGUC